CGGGGUGUCGUAUACCGGUAGUACGCUUGCUUUGGGAGCAAGAUGACGGAGUUCGAUUCUCCGCACCCCGACCA
rnacentral:tRNA from 1 species